UACGUAGGGUGCGAGCGUUAAUCGGAAUUACUGGGCGUAAAGCGUGCGCAGGCGGUUUUGUAAGCCAGAUGUGAAAGCCCCGGGCUUAACCUGGGAAUGGCAUUUGGGACUGCAAGGCUUGAGUGCGGCAGAGGAGACUGGAAUUCCUGGUGUAGCAGUGAAAUGCGUAGAUAUCAGGAGGAAUACCGAUGGCGAAGGCAGGUCUCUGGGCUGACACUGACGCUGAGGAGCGAAAGCCAGGGGAGCAAACGGG
rnacentral:rRNA from 1 species